rnacentral:lncRNA from 1 species
GAAAACUAAGAAACCCUAAAUCCCUAACAGUGUUAAAGCAGCAGCGGGCAGCCACCAAUACCCAUUAGGAAAUUUGAAGAAGAGCCCACGGCUAAACGCCAAAGUAAAGAUGAAUGCCGAUAUAGGAUUUGCCUUACACCAGUUUUAGGUAUAAGGUACAAGGAGGAGAUAAAGCUGUGUAAUUUUUGAUUAUUUUUUAGUUUCAGCCAAUAUUUUUGUAGACUGUAAUUAAGCCAAAGAACAUGAUUUUUCAUUACCUCAUAUAGCAAGCUGGAUGUAAUUAAUUACUCCUUUAGUUUAUCAAUUUUCCAGUUCAUCUUUUUACAUCUCGUCGAUCAAAAUUAGUGAUAUAGGGUGUAUACUAUGCAGACAGAAUACAUUUGAG